rnacentral:rRNA from 1 species
AUGGCGACCACCGCGCUGAGCAUGAAGCUGCUGGUGGACACCAAGGCGCGGCGCGUGCUGUUCGCCGAGGCGAGCAAGGACGUGGUGGACUUCCUUUUCUCCAUCCUCUCCCUGCCCGUCGGCACCGCCGUCAAGCUGCUCGGCAAGGGCUCCAUGGUCGGCAGCGUCGGCAGCCUCUACGCCAGUGUUGAGAAGCUCGACGGCACCUACGUCCAGCCCGGCGCCGCCAAGGACGCGCUCCUCCACCCCGCCGUCCCAUCCCCGGCCGUCAGCAACAAAAGCUCCCUCCUCUUAGGCUCGCCGCCGCCGCCGGCGUCGUCCAUCCGGGCCCAGCCCCAGCCGACGACGUUCUUCGGAUGCAAUAGCCAGUGCAGGUCGCGCAACUACGACUACGACAGCGUCUACGUCUACGACGAGGGCGAGUGUGGCCGCCAGCAACUUUCUUGCAGCGGUUGCCGUAGCUACAUGACGGACAAGAGAGGCACCGCCUGUCCGUCGUGUGGCGGCCAGAUGUCCAAGGAGUUGAAGCUCGUGCCGUCAGCGGUGUCCGGACGGCAGGCGGCGUCGCCGGAAAGGGGUUCGUGCAGGGCAUCGUGA